CUGGCGCCCGGAAAGCCGAGGAACCGGAACCGGCCCGCAGCCGGGGCGAGAGGCCGCUGAUUUGACGUCACAAGGAGGCUGCUUUUCUCCUGCCCCGGGCUCCGGCCUCACUGUCCUUCGAGAUCGUGCCGGAGCAGGACCCGGUUCGCUUUCGGAGACAAGUAUUUCCGGUCCCUUCUGAAUUGCAGCUCUGACCUAUGCCUUGUUGACUCACUCACUGGGAUGCCCGAGGCCAAGAGGCUUAGGCACAGGGCAGAUGAGCCCAAGAUUAUGGACCUGGACCUAGGGAGCAUGGGCACGCAUGUGUGUAAGUGCAGGCAUCUGUGCCAAGAGGCCAGGGAUAAAGGUUGGUAUCGCUCAGAGACUACUAGGGCUACAAGAGGACCACCCUGAGGCGAGACCAUGAGAUGAGAAUGCCAGAGAGAGGCUAGAGAAAGCUCAAAGUUUCAACUGGCAGCCUCCUGGCACCCUGGCAUCCUUGCCUACCUUGUGCUAGCCUCCUAUGCCAGCCUCCCCGCCUGGCAGGCCUAUGUACCUGGUUACCUGAGAUAGCAUUAAA